CUCUCCAGAUGGGCCUGUAGGAGUCUUGAGGGCCGAGCUCAGGAAUCACUAUGUUUCAUCCGCCUGUGGAGCAGAAGAUCUGGUGUAGGAAAAUCAGCACAAGCUUUGGAGCCAGGCCAUUGGGAAUCAACACUUAGAUUCGUAUCUGACUGAGUGAAUUGAGGACUGUAGCCAGCCAAGCUGACAUGAAAGACCGCGGCAGCAAGUUACUUCAUUCCUCUGAGGCUGUUUCCUUGUACACUAAACCAUCGCCAUAGGGCUGUUGUGAGGAUUGUACGAAGUAAGUGUAACACACAGCUGGGCAUCUUGUUUCACACUCUGAGCCUCAGUUUCCUCAACUGUAA